rnacentral:rRNA from 1 species
UACGUAGGGGGCUAGCGUUGUCCGGAAUCAUUGGGCGUAAAGAGCGUGUAGGCGGUCCGGUAAGUCCGCUGUGAAAGUCGGGGGCUCAACCCUCGAAUGCCGGUGGAUACUGUCGGGCUAGAGUGCGGAAGAGGCGAGUGGAAUUCCUGGUGUGAGCGGUGAAAUGCGCAGAUAUCAGGAGGAACACCUAUUGCGAAGGCAGCUCGCUGGGACGUUACUGACGCUGAGACGCGAAAGCGUGGGGAGCAAACAGG